CGUAAUGGCGGUUGUGCGCGGGAUACCUUCGGGUAUGCCGGGUUCCUUGAUUCCCGGUCUGCGAACCCGCGUACAGCUGCCACCUCC
rnacentral:antisense_RNA from 4 species